rnacentral:rRNA from 1 species
UACGUAGGAUGCAAGCGUUGUCCGGAAUUAUUGGGCGUAAAGAGCGCGCAGGCGGUCUAUCAAGUCAGAUGUGAAAUAUCCGGGCUUAACCCGGAGGGGUCAUUUGAAACUGGUAGACUAGAGUACAGCAGAGGAUAGCGGAAUUCCCGGUGUAGUGGUGAAAUGCGUAGAUAUCGGGAGGAACACCAGUGGCGAAGGCGGCUAUCUGGGCUGAAACUGACGCUGAGGCGCGAAGGCUAGGGGGAGCAAACAGG